CAUCUCAUCUUAGUGUUAUUAACUAAAGACAGCUCGUUGAACAAGCUGCUCGGGAGCACAGAAAAAAAGUAGAGAAACAAAAAAUUAUUUAUCAUGAAAAACGGCAUUGUAACAGCAUUCGCUAUCUUGCUUGUUAUGGGCGCGGUUGUGCAGAAAGGUGAUUCAUUCAUCAGAGCCGGAAGAGAAAUGAUCUACAAUAAAGAAAGAGAACCUCAGCAGCCUAUCGAAGACUUCUAUGACAGAGUCGCAGCGCCGCCCCCACAGGUGCUAUUUAAGAAAGGUUAUGGCAUGAAGCACGAAAGAGAAGACAUCGCCUUGAAGCGAAACUGAACAAGAACCUCGUUGUAAUUAGAUAAAAGUAUUAAUUUCUUGCUGAAACUAUUUUCAUUUAAGUAUACUUAUUAACUGAUAACUGUUGUAAUAAACAUAAGCCGAUUGCUUAAUGAAUUGUUAACAAAAUGAACGUAAAUUAAACGUCUUACAUCAUAACUCUUGGAUUUUGUUCCUGAGUAAAUCUUAGACGUUUCUUUACCUUUAAUUUCUUUCGUUUUUAUUCUUCUUCGAUGCGAUUUCGUUUAUUUAUUGUUAAUAUUUUCCUCCCCUCCCCUCUCUUCUCAUCUGAGCUCUCUUCCCUUCUCCUCUCUUCCCGUGUGUCCUCCUCCUGCCCUUGCCCCGCCCUCUCUUCUAUUUUCGUCCUUCCUCUCCUCUCCUCUCCUCUUUUUUCUAUUUCCUCUAACCAAUGGUUGUAUCCAAAUGACUGUAAAUCAAAGUCUUUGUACCUCCGCAGAAGGUUCUUUUACCCGUGUUACCUAAAGAUUUGAAAAAGUUGAAAUCUAAUUAAGCAAAUGAAACUUUUUGAGAUGGACUAAUGCAUUGUUUAGUUAUAUC